rnacentral:rRNA from 1 species
CAAUAGCGUAUAUUAAAGUUGUUGCAGUUAAAAAGCUCGUAGUUGGAUUUGUGGUGUACUUCGGCGGCCCGUCACUAUGUGAUGGAGCUUGCUGAAGUCGCCAUCCUUGGGUGGAUCCUGUGUGGCAUUAAGUUGUCGUGCAGGGGAUGCCCAUCGUUUACUGUGAAAAAAUUAGAGUGUUCAAAGCAGGCUUAUACCGUUGAAUAUAUUAGCAUGGAAUAAUAAGAUAGGACCUUGGUACUAUUUUGUUGGUUUGCGCACCAAGGUAAUGAUUAAUAGGGACAGUUGGGGGUAUUCGUAUUUCAUUGUCAGAGGUGAAAUUCUUGGAUUUUUGAAAGACGAACUACUGCGAAAGCAUUUACCAAGGAUGUUUUCAUUAA